CUCGACCAGUCCAUUUCUUUCAUGGCUCAUUUGAUCUCAGAAGCUAAGCAGGGUUGGGCCUGGUUAGUACUUGGAUGGGAGACCGCCUGGGAAUACCAGGUGCUGUAGGCU
rnacentral:rRNA from 1 species